rnacentral:lncRNA from 1 species
GUCCUGAAAGAUUUCUUCCAAAGAUUGACUUUCAGGGCAUAUUUCCAACAAUUAACUCUCCAAAUAAAUGUUUAGGCUCAAGUCUCACAAGGUUGUAGCGUACAUUUGAGUUCAUUCUUUCAAACAUGUUACAAAACUAAUUUUUCCUUUAUGAUUGCAUGUGAAUUCAUAAAUUAUAACCACAACCAAGCAUACACCAAAGAGUAAAUCAAAUUUUCAUCCAUGUUUAUAACUCUUUUUAACAGUCAUGCAAUUAAAAACCAAAUCCUCAUCAUUGUGUUGGAAGGUACCCUAAGACACAAAUAAACAUACAAAAACAACUCUUUUUGGGUUUUUCAAAACAAUUUUUCAAAUUUUUAUGAGAUUUUUGGAUUUUUAUGUCAAAACACACUGAAACACUCCAAAACAGCUUAAAAACACUUAAAACAGCAAGGAACAACAC